rnacentral:rRNA from 1 species
UACGUAGGGUGCAAGCGUUGUCCGGAAUUAUUGGGCGUAAAGAGCUCGUAGGCGGUUUGUUGCGUCGGCUGUGAAAUCCCGAGGCUCAACCUCGGGUCUGCAGUCGAUACGAGCAAACUAGAGUGUUGCAGGGGGAGACUGGAAUUCCUGGUGUAGCGGUGAAAUGCGCAGAUAUCAGGAGGAACACCGGUGGCGAAGGCGGGUCUCUGGGGCAACAACUGACGCUGAGGAGCGAAAGCGUGGGGAGCGAACAGG